AGGCGAGGGUGUUGCAAGCGGCCGGGGAAGAAGAGGGGUGGCAAGGUUGUCUUGGAAGGUCUUGGCGUAAGGUGAGCGUGGUUGUUGCUUGAAGUCGGUCUGGAAGGCCCUGGGCUCAACCAGGGAGCUGCGAUGGAGACAGGGCGACUAGAGUGUGGUAGAGGGUAGCGGAAUUCCUGGUGUAGCAGUGAAAUGCGUAGAUAUCAGGAGGAACAGCCAUGGCGAAGGCAGCUACCUGGGCCAACACUGACACUGAGGCACGAAAGCGUGGGGAGCAAACAGGAUUAGAUACCGGUAGUC
rnacentral:rRNA from 1 species